AUUCUUAGCUCGAUGAUUUGUGAUCAGAAGUUGAAAGCAAGUAUGUCUCUGGCCUGCGACGCGUAAUUUGUACGUUUUCAGAACGAACGAACUCUUGUCUUCUGUUGACAUCUUGUUGACGUAUUGUGACAGGUAGUUAUUCCCAUUGAUGUUAAUUUUAGAAGUGACACAAUGUUUUCGGUCGUAUUUUGCCUACAUUCUUCAUUACUCAAAAAGUAUAUUAAUAAUUAAGGACCUUCUAUUUAUAUGUAAGUGAAUUCAAAAUAAUGUAAUAUAUUAAAACCAGGAACUUAUUUUUAAGGA
rnacentral:lncRNA from 1 species